AUUGAACGCUGGCGGCAGGCCUAACACAUGCAAGUCGAGCGAGCGGCGGACGGGUGAGUAAUGUCUGGGAAACUGCCUGAUGGAGGGGGAUAACUACUGGAAACGGUAGCUAAUACCGCAUACCAUCAGAUGUGCCCAGAUGGGAUUAGAUAGUCGGUGGGGUAACGGCUCACCUAGGAGACGAUACCUAGCUGGUCUGAGAGGACGACCAGCCAAACGGGAACGAGGACACGGUCCAGACUCCUACGGGAGGCAGCAGUGGGGAAUAUUGCACAAUGGGCGCAAGCCUGAUGCAGCCAUUCCGCGUGUGUGAAGAAGGCCUUCGGGUUGUAAAGCACUUUCAGCGGGGAGGCGUUACCCGCAGAAGAAGCACCGGCUAACUCCGUGCCAGCAGCCGCGGUAAUAC
rnacentral:rRNA from 1 species